rnacentral:lncRNA from 1 species
GUAAAAUAAAUUUGUCAUAAUCUUUUACGGUUGCGAAGGAGAUGCGCUAACAAGGAAAACAGUGUUUGGGGAGAUAACUCCUACAAAGAAAAGUAUUUGUUUACGCAGGGUAAAUUUCAAAAGCGCAUAAGCUGUUCGAUAUCAUAUACAAAAUAUCUAAGCGACAUAUUGCGAAACAAAUGUUUAUCGCAAGAACAAAAUUAGGCGGAAGAAAAAAAAAAAAAUAAUCAGAAGAAA